UACGAAGGGUGCUAGCGUUGUUCGGAAUCACUGGGCGUAAAGCGCGCGUAGGCGGCGACACAAGUCAGAGGUGAAAUCCCAGAGCUUAACUCUGGAACUGCCUUUGAAACUGUGUUGCUAGAGUACUGGAGGGGAGUGGGGAAUUCCUAAUGUAGAGGUGAAAUUCGUAGAUAUUAGGAGGAACACCGGUGGCGAAGGCGCCACUCUGGACAGUAACUGACGCUGAGGCGCGAAAGCGUGGGGAUCAAACAGG
rnacentral:rRNA from 1 species